rnacentral:rRNA from 1 species
CCUACGGGAGGCAGCAGUAGGGAAUAUUGCUCAAUGGGGGAAACCCUGAAGCAGCAACGCCGCGUGGAGGAUGAAGGUUUUAGGAUUGUAAAAUCCUUUUGGGAGAGAAGAGAAUGACGGUAGCUCACGAAUAAGCACCGGCUAACUCCGGGCCAGCAGCCGCGGUAAUACGGAGGGUGCAAGCGUUACUCGGAAUCACUGGGCGUAAAGCGUGCGCAGGCGGGCUUGUAAGUCAGCUGUGAAAUCCGGGCGCUUAACUACAGAACUGCAUUUGAAACUUUGAGUCUAGAGUGUGGGAGAGGUCGGUGGCAUUCUUGGUGUAGCGGUCACAUCCGUAGAUAUCAAG